rnacentral:lncRNA from 1 species
CUUUUCACAGCAAUGUCUUGUCCAUCUUCCAGUGUUCCCUAAGACCAUAACUUUUGCAUUUGGAAAGGUAUUCACUUUAAUGAAAAUUGACGUAGUACAGGAUUUUAGGCUACUGCUUUCAUCUUUUACUCUAGUUUAACAUGUCUCUGAAAUUCAUGUUUUACUCUGAUAAAAUCUACUAGGCUAACAUUGAUAUCUGUGAACUUAUUCUGAGGAGACCAUCUGCAUUUCUCAUAGAGUAAAACGUAUGAAUAAUUUCCUAAAAAUAAAAAAUGAUCAGUAGUUGAAAAACAAGUGGAUUUUAUACGUGAUUCAAGUAUUUGAAGGUAUCUAGGAUUUCAUGACUUUUAGCAUUUGUUCAUCUUCUGCUCUUAUUUUCUCAACAGUCCAUGUAUAGAAUUUGCACAUUUUACCUUAUAAACAAGUCCAUAUCCACCUUGUCCAAGCUUGUUGUUGAUUGAAAAGUUGUUGGUGGCCUUUGAAAUUGUAGAUAAGUCUAACAAUGGCAGCUCAAUGUCUUUGCUACUACUUCCUGAAUCGUGAGUAAUAUAAGGAUAUAAUUCAACUGAGAGUAGUUGAGUGUUUGCACUUUGCAUGCUUAUUUAUACGUAUGGCAUGAAAUGGCAGAUGUUGCUUACCUUCUGUUUUCCCAUUUGGAUCAUUCUUCUCCCUCUUCCAAAAGUAUAGCAUCAAGCUCAGGCCUAGCAGAACAACUCCUAUCAAUGAUGUCAAACUCGAUAUCAAUAUUUUUCUUCUCUUUCCUUUCGAAUCUACAGCAAGUUUGCUGAUAUUCUUACCCAACUCGGAAGGAGCCAUUCUAAUAUAAAUAUCUUGUCCAUCAACAGGUAGAUCUCUCAUGUCAAUCAAGUCUCCAUACCAAAACAAGCACCCACCUCUCUCUGUGCUAAUAUCUUAUUGUGUGUAUGCCAUACAAGAGCAAUUCUUUAAACACACCACCUCGCAUUCUUUGAGCAUCAUGCUCUUGUUAAACCCGGAAUAUCUCGAGUCUGGCAAUUUAAUUCCAGAAUACUUCAAAAAUACAUCACUCUUGCAAUUCAAGGGGGUCCUACGAAUGCACCCAUUUGACCAAUUUUCGACAAUCCAACCUUUUGGAUCUUUUGGCACAAAACUACUGAGACAUGCACAUGCUGGAGAUUUUGUUACAUUGCAACUACUAUAAGCACCACAAAAUUUGUAAGUAUCACAAAUAUCCACUGGUAAAAUCUGGAAAUUGACCCAUUCCCUGGUUCCAACAACCCAUCUCCAGCGUUGCAUGACACCAUUCUGACUCAAUGUAAUUCUCGAAAUAACUAAUCGGUCAAGGACAUCUUCCCUGUAGUAUGUCUUGUUCUUGUUCAUUAUUAUCAAUCCAUACAAGGAUCUUUUACCUCUCACACCUGUUGCUCCACUAAAGCGUACACCGUUCCAAUUUCCUAUUCUACAUGUAGUAGUAUUACCUCUUUUUAUGAAUAUUUGUGGAUAUCCAGUUGGAUCCAAGUGAAGUGUGAAGUUUCCGGGAGCUGGGUCCUCACCGCUCUUCCAUGAUGACAGGUAGCUUUCUAUACCCGUUGCAUAGUUCCAGCCACAAUUCAUGUUUGGUAGAAAUGUAUUGCUCAAAUAAUCGAAACUCUGCCAAAGAAAAUUCUCUUGAUCAUUGUCAUUUACUUCUCUUAGGACAAGAUUUCCAGAGUCCAACAACUGCACAAUUGGAGUUUGAGCAACUCUUGUCAUUCUCGAAGACCAUAUGAUGUUAUUAGUG